rnacentral:rRNA from 1 species
UACGUAGGGUCCGAGCGUUGUCCGGAAUUACUGGGCGUAAAGAGCUCGUAGGUGGUUUGUCGCGUUGUUCGUGAAAACUCACAGCUUAACUGUGGGCGUGCGGGCGAUACGGGCAGACUGGAGUACUGCAGGGGAGACUGGAAUUCCUGGUGUAGCGGUGGAAUGCGCAGAUAUCAGGAGGAACACCGGUGGCGAAGGCGGCUCACUGGCUCAUUUCUGACGCUCAGGCGCGACAGCGUGGGGAUCAAACAGG